GAAACGCGAUAGUUAAUGUGAAUUGCAGAAUUCAGUGAAUCAUCGAGUCUUUGAACGCACAUUGCGCCUUUUGGUAUUCCGAGAGGCACGCCUGUCUGAGCGUCAGUAAAACCCUUCGGCUAGUAAUUUAUUUUGCGAUGCCGGUGUUGGCGGAGGAGGUUAGCUAGCCGUCAUCCCCCCUUCGGGGGGCCCCCCCUCCGGGGCGGGGCCGCGGUGGCCACGCAAGCAACCCCCCGCUUAAAAAUCGCAGCGAAGCACCGCGAACCGCAGGGAGCCUACGAAAAUAGUAGCAAUAUUUUUUUCAAGGCUUAGACUCGGCCGGCCCGCUAUAAGCCCCCAUUUUACUUUGAAUUUUGACCUCAGAUCAGACGAGGAUACCCGCUGAACUUAA
rnacentral:misc_RNA from 1 species